GAUUGGUGCGCGCACGCGAGGGGAGCACGAGGCGCUCGCCCGCCGGGCGGGGGCUGAGCCUGAGGGGAGCGCUGAGGGAAGCCUGGAAACUCCUGGUUGUGACAUGUCCUGUGGUGCAACACCGGCUUCAGAUGUAGCUGCAACCCACAGAACAAUGCACCAUGACGAUUUGGCCAGGUGGAUAUCUGCCUGAGCUUCUCUUGAAACUUCAUCAUGUUCCUGGCAAACCCACCACCUUGGAAGAGCAAAGGACCUCCAGCAGCAGCAUAUGGGACCUCUCUGUCGCGAAUUCCAGUAGGACAUCAGGAAUCUCAGCUAUACAGCUCAUCAAAACAUGCCGUGCCUCACAGCCAGACAUCUGAUGGUGCAUGGAGUGAUUCAUUGCUGCAUCUGGGCAGGAGGAUGAGAGUGACCACAGCACUCAUUCCUCUGCAUAUCACUGUGGGAUCUGUGCCCCAGCGCCUGGGAAAGCUGUGCUGCCACUUGGAGAAAUGCCAGCAGCAGAUUCAGCAGCAGCUUGGAGAACCAAAGCUGCAUGGUACCCAAUAGAAUCACAGCUACAUUAGGCAAAUGCUGAAACAACUAAUUUAGGAACUAACUUCAGGAAGUGCUGCUCUGGACCCCAUGUGCACCUUUUCUGCUGAGAAAAACAAAAGAUCUCCUGAGCUGCUUUGCAUUUCUCAGCACCACACGAGAGCCAUGAAAGUAUUGUAAGCAAGGUGUGAUUGAUUGUUGUGUCAUUUCCUCUCCCCCCUUCUCUAGUGCUGGGUUCAAGCGGGCAAUUUUGCACCAGUGACACAACCAUUACUUUAUGUAGAGGAUUUUCUCCCAGCUUCUCAACAAUAGCAUAUAAGAGUAGUGUGCCUUCUGGGCAUGCAAAGUAUCAAAAUGCUCUAUCUCAGCAAUUGGCUCUGCUAUGAGAAAUAAUUCUAGAUCAUCAACCAUUUAAAGCAAAAAUUUUUGUAAUUCCAGGUUUGCACUAGAACAGGAAAAAGGCCUACUUAAUUUUGACUCCAAGUACAAUAUCUGUAAGAUUCCUGUCACUCGGAGGUUUUAGGACUAUUUACAGAGCAUUCAAAGGAGAAUAAGCUCUUCCAAACAACAGUCCUAAAUUUGUUUUCUUAUUCCUACACAUAGAUUUUGCCACACAUUGUUUUGCAAGGCUCUUUGAAACCUGCAUUUAUGCUAAAUGAAGAGCUAGUGGAUAAGAUUUUUUUUUUCCUUGUGGAAUAAUGAAAAAGCCUAUUUAAACCUUUGUAAGAGGUUUGCUUCUUUCACUUGUGCAUGCCAAGACUAUGGCUGCCAAGGCUAUUGCUAAGAAGGGUUUGAUUCAGGGAUGGAUAAGUUGCUUAGCUCACUGACAGGGUGUGCAGGAUGUCAGGAAGGUACUCCCCAUGCAGAAUGUUUGGACUGUGCAGCUAUCUUCUUGUCUUGUGACUAGAAAAUUGUACAAGAGGACAAUUCCCCUCCUCCUGGAGGUUCACUGUUGAGAACAUGACAACAAAACCACAGCCACAUAGUGUGUCAACACAAGAGCAGAACCAGGCCACCUCUUCCCUGUUAUCAACCUGUUUGGCUUGGGACAUCCUAUAUUUGUCUUUAGAAGGACACCAGUGUCCCCUUACCUGCCUGGCCAUUGCUGUUCCCUGGCACAGCCCCAGCAGUCCUGUUAUCCCAAGGAGGUGAGAGGCAGAGGUCCAGCAGUGAUGGCACCAGGUUGGGUCAGGCCAUUCUGGCACUUGUGCAUGACCAGUCUGUCAGUGCAGCCUGAGGGACGCUGCCAAUCCUGCCUCUU